GUGAUCAUCAAUAUAGAUGGGCUUAUCGAUAUCGCCAUGCCGAAUUGGCCCCGAAUCAAUCUCAUAGGAUGAAAGCAACUUCUUAUGGUCCUCAAAAUCAGGACUGAUCAAAUUGAUAGAUAAGUUUCUCAUCAACAGCAGAACAGUUUCAACAUCUAUUGGGUCCAUCCUCUUCAACUUUUGCAGAUGACCAGAAGCAUUUGGGUCAAAGACACUGCCAAUGAAUCUGU
rnacentral:misc_RNA from 1 species